rnacentral:rRNA from 1 species
AUUGAACGCUGGCGGCAUGCUUUACACAUGCAAGUCGAACGGCAGCGCGGGCUUCGGCCUGGCGGCGAGUGGCGAACGGGUGAGUAAUAUAUCGGAACGUACCCAGGAGUGGGGGAUAACGUAGCGAAAGUUACGCUAAUACCGCAUACGUCCUAAGGGAGAAAGCGGGGGAUCGCAAGACCUCGUGCUCAUGGAGCGGCCGAUAUCUGAUUAGCUAGUUGGUGGGGUAAAGGCUCACCAAGGCAACGAUCAGUAGCUGGUCUGAGAGGACGACCAGCCACACUGGAACUGAGACACGGUCCAGACUCCUACGGGAGGCAGCAGUGGGGAAUUUUGGACAAUGGGGGCAACCCUGAUCCAGCAAUGCCGCGUGAGUGAAGAAGGCCUUCGGGUUGUAAAGCUCUUUUGUCAGGGAAGAAACGACUCCUUCUAAUACAGGGGGUUAAUGACGGUACCUGAAGAAUAAGCACCGGCUAACUACGUGCCAGCCGCCGCGGUAACAC